AAACAUACUUUAGAUGUAAAUGACAUAAAAUGUAAAAAAGUAUCAAGUGAAAAUGCAACAAGAGAAAUUUUUGCACAUAGAUGAAAACGACUUCAACAGUCGUCAAAGCACAACGAGACCAUAGGCGACAACGACGCCAUAAUUAGAUUCAACAACAACAACAACAACAAUGAUAAUGAUGGAUCAUACUUGGUUCCAAGUAAUUGAGAGUAGGUCUGACCCAGAUCACACAUACAGUGCCUGUGCCCAAAAAACUCAAGUACCCCUCACAAACGAGGAAGCAAGAGGGCAAUAUCAACUCCCACAGGAAAAACACCUAAACAUGAACAUACAAGGAUUAAACUGGAUGAAAAAACCAGACACAACAAAUGGUCCAUCGAAGAGAAAUCCUUUCUGAAAGAAUACAGUCAGAAAUUACGAAAAGAUAGCGAGUCAGAAACAGUUUCUGGAACAACUGUACAAUUGCCAUGAACAAAAUGUUUGGUGGAAAAAACAGAA